GAGUUUGAUCGUGGCUCAGAUUGAACGCUGGCGGCAUGCCUUACACAUGCAAGUCGAACGGCAGCACGGGAGCUUGCUCCUGGUGGCGAGUGGCGAACGGGUGAGUAAUGCAUCGGAACGUAUCCUGGAGUGGGGGAUAACGUAGCGAAAGUUACGCUAAUACCGCAUAUUCUGUGAGCAGGAAAGCGGGGGACCUUCGGGCCUCGCGCUCUUGGAGCGGCCGAUGUCGGAUUAGCUAGUUGGUGAGGUAAAGGCUCACCAAGGCGACGAUCCGUAGCAGGUCUGAGAGGAUGAUCUGCCACACUGGAACUGAGACACGGUCCAGACUCCUACGGGAGGCAGCAGUGGGGAAUUUUGGACGAUGGGGGCAACCCUGAUCCAGCCAUGCCGCGUGAGUGAAGAAGGCCUUCGGUUGUAA
rnacentral:rRNA from 1 species